GUUUGGGGCAAUUUGAGAGUUUCGACCACAGAAUGGGACCUUUGGGGUUCUGUCUGGAAGCUAAGCAGGCUCAGACCUGGUUAUUACUGGGAUGGGGGACCACCAAGGAAUACCAGGAGCUACAGGCU
rnacentral:rRNA from 11 species